UACGUAGGGUGCAAGCGUUAUUCGGAAUUAUUGGGCGUAAAGGGCGCGUAGGCGGCUUUGCAAGUGACGGGUGAAAGCCCUCGGCUUAACCGAGGAACUGCCUGUCAGACUGUAAGGCUUGAGACCGGGAGAGGUGAGUGGAAUUCCCAGUGUAGCGGUGAAAUGCGUAGAUAUUGGGAGGAACACCAGUGGCGAAGGCGGCUCACUGGACCGGAACUGACGCUGAGGCGCGAAAGCGUGGGGAGCAAACAGG
rnacentral:rRNA from 1 species